rnacentral:rRNA from 1 species
UUAGCUACAGGCUUAACACAUGCAAGUCGAGGGGCAGCAUGGUCUUAGCUUGCUAAGGCCGAUGGCGACCGGCGCACGGGUGAGUAACACGUAUCCAACCUGCCGUCUACUCUUGGACAGCCUUCUGAAAGGAAGAUUAAUACAAGAUGGCAUCAUGAGUCCGCAUGUUCACAUGAUUAAAGGUAUUCCGGUAGACGAUGGGGAUGCGUUCCAUUAGAUAGUAGGCGGGGUAACGGCCCACCUAGUCUUCGAUGGAUAGGGGUUCUGAGAGGAAGGUCCCCCACAUUGGAACUGAGACACGGUCCAAACUCCUACGGGAGGCAGCAGUGAGGAAUAUUGGUCAAUGGGCGAGAGCCUGAACCAGCCAAGUAGCGUGAAGGAUGACUGCCCUAUGGGUUGUAAACUUCUUUUAUAAAGGAAUAAAGUCGGGUAUGCAUACCCGUUUGCAUGUACUUUAUGAAUAAGGAUCGGCUAACUCCGUGCCAGCAGCCGCGGUAAUACGGAGGGUCCGAGCGUUAUCCGGAUUUAUUGGGUUUAAAGGGAGCGUAGAUGGAUGUUUAAGUCAGUUGUGAGAGUUUGCGGCUCAACCGUAAAAUUGCAGUUGAUACUGGAUAUCUUGAGUGCAGUUGAGGCAGGCGGAAUUCGUGGUGUAGCGGUGAAAUGCUUAGAUAUCACGAAGAACUCCGAUUGCGAAGGCAGCCUGCUAAGCUGCAACUGACAUUGAGGCUCGAAAGUGUGGGUAUCAAACAGGAUUAGAUACCCUGGUAGUCCACACGGUAAACGGUGAAUACUCGCUGUUUGCGAUAUACAGCAAGCGGCCAAGCGAAAGCGUUAAGUAUUCCACCUGGGGAGUACGCCGGCAACGGUGAAACUCAAAGGAAUUGACGGGGGCCCGCACAAGCGGAGGAACAUGUGGUUUAAUUCGAUGAUACGCGAGGAACCUUACCCGGGCUUAAAUUGCAGAUGAAUUACGGUGAAAGCCGUAAGCCGCAAGGCAUCUGUGAAGGUGCUGCAUGGUUGUCGUCAGCUCGUGCCGUGAGGUGUCGGCUUAAGUGCCAUAACGAGCGCAACCCUUGUUGUCAGUUACUAACAGGUUCCGCUGAGGACUCUGACAAGACUGCCAUCGUAAGAUGUGAGGAAGGUGGGGAUGACGCCAAAUCAGCACGGCCCUUACGUCCGGGGCUACACACGUGUUACAAUGGGGGGUACAGAGGGCCGCUACCACGCGAGUGGAUGCCAAUCCCAAAAACCUCUUUCAGUUCGGACUGGAGUCUGCAACCCGACUCCACGAAGCUGGAUUCGCUAGUAAUCGCGCAUCAGCCACGGCGCGGUGAAUACGUUCCCGGGCCUUGUACACACCGCCCGUCAAGCCAUGGGAGCCGGGGGUACCUGAAGUGCGUAACCGCGAGGAGCGCCCUAGGGUAAAACUGGUGACUGGGGCUAAGUCGUA